rnacentral:rRNA from 1 species
UGAUACUAAGCCAUGCGAGUCAUUGCAGUAACGCAAGGCAGACGGCUCAGUAACGCGUAGUCAACCUACCCUAUGGACGGGAAUAACCUCGGGAAACUGAGUAUAAUGCCCGAUAGAACACUAUUCCUGGAAUGGUUUGUGUUCCAAAUGAUUUAUCGCCGUAGGAUGGGACUGCGGCCUAUCAGUUUGUUGGUGAGGUAAUGGCCCACCAAGACUAUUACAGGUACGGGCUCUGAGAGGAGUAGCCCGGAGAUGGGUACUGAGACACGGACCCAGGCCCUAUGGGGCGCAGCAGGCGAGAAAACUUUGCAAUGUGCGAAAGCACGACAAGGUUAAUCCGAGUGGUUUGUGCUAAACGAACCUUUUGACAGUCCUAGAAACACUGUUGAAUAAGGGGUGGGCAAGUUCUGGUGUCAGCCGCCGCGGUAAAACCAGCACCUCAAGUGGUCAGGAUGAUUAUUGGGCCUAAAGCAUCCGUAGCCGGCUCUGUAAGUUUUCGGUUAAAUCUGUACGCUCAACGUACAGGCUGCCGGGAAUACUGCAGAGCUAGGGAGUGGGAGAGGUAGACGGUACUCGGUAGGAAGGGGUAAAAUCCUUUGAUCUAUUGAUGACCACCUGUGGCGAAGGCGGUCUACCAGAACACGUCCGACGGUGAGGGAUGAGAGCUGGGGGAGCAAACCGGAUUAGAUACCCGGGUAGUCCCAGCUGUAAACUAUGCAAACUCAGUGAUGCAUUGGCUUGUGGCCAAUGCAGUGCUGCAGGGAAGCCGUUAAGUUUGCCGCCUGGGAAGUGCGUACGCAAGUAUGAAACUUAAAGGAAUUGGCGGGGGAGCACCACAAGGGGUGAAGCCCGCGGUUCAAUUGG